rnacentral:rRNA from 1 species
UACGGAGGGGACUAGCGUUGUUCGGAAUUACUGGGCGUAAAGCGCACGUAGGCGGAUUUGUAAGUCAGGGGUGAAAUCCCGAGGCUCAACCUCGGAACUGCCUUCGAUACUGCAAAUCUCGAGUCCGGAAGAGGUGAGUGGAAUUCCUAGUGUAGAGGUGAAAUUCGUAGAUAUUAGGAAGAACACCAGUGGCGAAGGCGGCUCACUGGUCCGGUACUGACGCUGAGGUGCGAAAGCGUGGGGAGCAAACAGG